rnacentral:rRNA from 1 species
UACGAAGGGGGCUAGCGUUGUUCGGAAUUACUGGGCGUAAAGCGCGCGCAGGCGGUCUUCCAAGUCAGUGGUGAAAGCCUGGAGCUCAACUCCAGAACUGCCAUUGAAACUGUUAGACUUGAGUACGAGAGAGGUGAGUGGAAUUCCCAGUGUAGAGGUGAAAUUCGUAGAUAUUGGGAAGAACACCAGUGGCGAAGGCGGCGACCUGGUCCUAUACUGACACUCAUACACGAAAGCGUGGGUAGCAAACAGG